rnacentral:rRNA from 1 species
UGGCGGCGUGCUAUACAUGCAGUCGAGCGAACAGACGAGGAGCUUGCUCCUCUGACGUUAGCGGCGGACGGGUGAGUAACACGUGGAUAACCUACCUAUAAGACUGGGAUAACUUCGGGAAACCGGAGCUAAUACCGGAUAAUAUAUUGAACCGCAUGGUUCAAUAGUGAAAGACGGUUUUGCUGUCACUUAUAGAUGGAUCCGCGCCGCAUUAGCUAGUUGGUAAGGUAACGGCUUACCAAGGCAACGAUGCGUAGCCGACCUGAGAGGGUGAUCGGCCACACUGGAACUGAGACACGGUCCAGACUCCUACGGGAGGCAGCAGUAGGGAAUCUUCCGCAAUGGGCGAAAGCCUGACGGAGCAACGCCGCGUGAGUGAUGAAGGUCUUCGGAUCGUAAAACUCUGUUAUUAGGGAAGAACAAAUGUGUAAGUAACUAUGCACGUCUUGACGGUACCUAAUCAGAAAGCCACGGCUAACUACGUGCCAGCAGCCGCGGUAAUACGUAGGUGGCAAGCGUUAUCCGGAAUUAUUGGGCGUAAAGCGCGCGUAGGCGGUUUUUUAAGUCUGAUGUGAAAGCCCACGGCUCAACCGUGGAGGGUCAUUGGAAACUGGAAAACUUGAGUGCAGAAGAGGAAAGUGGAAUUCCAUGUGUAGCGGUGAAAUGCGCAGAGAUAUGGAGGAACACCAGUGGCGAAGGCGACUUUCUGGUCUGUAACUGACGCUGAUGUGCGAAAGCGUGGGGAUCAAACAGGAUUAGAUACCCUGGUAGUCCACGCCGUAAACGAUGAGUGCUAAGUGUUAGGGGGUUUCCGCCCCUUAGUGCUGCAGCUAACGCAUUAAGCACUCCGCCUGGGGAGUACGACCGCAAGGUUGAAACUCAAAGGAAUUGACGGGGACCCGCACAAGCGGUGGAGCAUGUGGUUUAAUUCGAAGCAACGCGAAGAACCUUACCAAAUCUUGACAUCCUCUGACCCCUCUAGAGAUAGAGUUUUCCCCUUCGGGGGACAGAGUGACAGGUGGUGCAUGGUUGUCGUCAGCUCGUG